ACAGAGCAUGCCAAAGAGGUGUCCUGGCUCGUGGUUCUUCUAUUGUCUGGUGUCAUAAAGAUGAACAGGGACAUUAACAGACUUGGAAUGAAGGCCACAAUGCUGAAGCACAAGGCCAGCAAAGCAUUUUUCUUUGCUAUGACUUUGUCUUCCAAACUAUUUGCUUCUUGUGCCUGUGGAAGUGAAGACAGGCUGAUAUUUUCCUAAAAAGGGGUGAAACAGGACUGCAGCUACAAUGGAGCAAAUGAUCAUAAUGGAGCCCACCAGGAUGCUUGAGAUGCUGAAGGCCAAGGCCAGUUUGGAAUUUAUCUGUGCCUUCCUCUGAUUUCCAUGAAAGUUGGCCUCCCAGCUCCCCUGGUCUUUGGAGAUGGAAAGGAGAUGUGCCUUCAUGAUGUCUGCCCUGGGAGACCACUGGGGAUGGGACCAAAGCCAUGGCUGAGAGCUACAACCUUCUACCUUCAGUCCAUGAAGUCCUAGGAUGGAAGAGAUGCAGAGGGUGGGGACUUUAGGUGAGGCAUGGGACAGGAGGGUGGCAAAGGGUCAGAGAGUGGCCAGCCUUGAUAGAGAAAGCUAAGAGAUGGGACCUCUAGGGGAAGAACCAGAUCUGAAAUAGUGAUUUUUCCGAGUGUGGUUCCUUGACCAGCCGUGUCAACAUCACCCAGAAAUCUCUUAAAAAUGCAAAUCCUUGCCCACUCCCACACUUACUGAGUAUAAAAUCCUGGUGGUGCCCAGCAAUCUGUGUUUUGAUAGGCCCUCCAAGUAAUUCUUAUACAAACUAAAGACUGAGAACUCCCAGAUGAGAAGAAUGAAUGAGAAAGAGUGGAAGUGCCCAGACCCUUCUAGGAGCUUCACUCAGACCUCUGGCCUUUGUGUUUAGGAUGUUCCUUUGUUCUGGAGGUAUGGAAGCUCCCCAGCUGGGUCCGCAUGGGGUUUUAUAUCCAUAAACAGUGGGGAAAACAUAAUAAAAUAGUUUCACCUAACCCAAAGAAAGACAUUAAGUUUUCAAAUCAAGUUGAAAGUACUUAGGAAUCACUUAUCGACAUGACACAUAAAUCUAGUAUAUUGUCAUCAAAAUCCUCAAUUCUAAGACAUGACAGAAUUUUAUAAGCUGGCGAACUGAACAAACAAGGUUAUUUAUAUGGAGAGGGAAUUAAAUAAACUAUAGACGAUUAAGAGAAAAUACAGGGAAUUUAAUAACAGUAGACAUUUAAAAUGAUUCGGAGGGGGAAAGAGGAAUGUAUAUAGGCUGAGCAAGCUAGGGAAAAUAAUAAGUAGAAAAGGAAAGCAACAUUUAAUGCAUAAACUAUGAUGGAACAAAUAAAAGUAAGCAAAUCAGUUACCAUACUGAAUAUGAAUUUCCUGAAUUCCCCUAAAAGUUAGAGAUUUCAGAUUAACAAAAUAAAAACACCAACAUUUAGCUAGAUGUUGCCUUUAGCAGUAUACCACUUAAAGAAAACAUUACCAACAACAGAAGAUUGAGGACGAGGCCACAAAGAGCAAUACAGGCACAUAACACAAACAGGGCAGAAUUUUCAAUGUACAAUGCACAAAAGAAGACAUGUCUGUCACAAAUAUUUAUGUAGUGAACUCUAAAUCAGCUACAUUGUGAGAACAAAAGCAACAAACAGAAGAAAUUUUAAUAAAGCCACUAGAAAUAUAAGGACUUAAAUAUACCUCUUAGAAAAUUUGAAAAUGAAAUAGAAACAGAAUGUACAAAUAUGUAUAGGAUUUGAAUAAUUUAACUAGUAAGUACAAUUAGAGAGUUAUUUAGAAAGUUACACUCUAAAGUAGUUACUGCACCUUCUUUAGUUAUAGAAAUAUUUAUAGAGAAAUAUUUAUAAAAUUCAUCAAGAACCUGGCUACAAAUAGAAAUUAAAAAAUGUAGAGUUCCUUAAACAAUACCAACAAAUCGGAAGUAAACAAAAAGGAGACUUGGAAAAAUUUCUGUUUGCAAACUAAGAGAUAGUCUCAUAAAUUACAGCCAUACCUCAGAGAUAUUGCAGGUUGGGUUCCAGACCACAACAAUAGUCAAUAUCACAAUAAAGCAAGUCAAAUGAA